UACGAAGGGGGCUAGCGUUGCUCGGAAUCACUGGGCGUAAAGCGCACGUAGGCGGCUUCUUAAGUCAGGGGUGAAAUCCUGGAGCUCAACUCCAGAACUGCCUUUGAUACUGAGGAGCUCGAGUCCGGGAGAGGUGAGUGGAACUGCGAGUGUAGAGGUGAAAUUCGUAGAUAUUCGCAAGAACACCAGUGGCGAAGGCGGCUCACUGGCCCGGUACUGACGCUGAGGUGCGAAAGCGUGGGGAGCAACAGG
rnacentral:rRNA from 1 species